rnacentral:rRNA from 1 species
AUUGAACGCUGGCGGCAGGCCUAACACAUGCAAGUCGAGCGGAUGAAGGGAGCUUGCUCCUGGAUUCAGCGGCGGACGGGUGAGUAAUGCCUAGGAAUCUGCCUGGUAGUGGGGGAUAACGUCCGGAAACGGGCGCUAAUACCGCAUACGUCCUGAGGGAGAAAGUGGGGGAUCUUCGGACCUCAUGCUAUCAGAUGAGCCUAGGUCGGAUUAGCUAGUUGGUGGGGUAAAGGCCUGCCAAGGCGACGAUCCGUAACUGGUCUGAGAGGAUGAUCAGUCACACUGGAACUGAGACACGGUCCAGACUCCUACGGGAGGCAGCAGUGGGGAAUAUUGGACAAUGGGCGAAAGCCUGAUCCAGCCAUGCCGCGUGUGUGAAGAAGGUCUUCGGAUUGUAAAGCACUUUAAGUUGGGAGGAAGGGCAGUAAGUUAAUACCUUGCUGUUUUGACGUUACCAACAGAAUAAGCACCGGCUAACUUCGUG